rnacentral:rRNA from 1 species
UUCGACCUGAACUCAGACGUGGUUACCCGU